GGCUCGGUAGCUUAGUUGGAAAAGCACUUGUCUAGCGAAUAAGGGUCGUGAGUUCAAAGCUCACCUGAGCUG
rfam:Aedes albopictus isolate Foshan contig145333, whole genome shotgun sequence.